UGUAGCAUCCCCGAAUCCGGGUCCCAAAUCGCCACGGAUCCGUUAUAUUAUUUCUAUCACUAUUGCGGAAGAUAUAAACAUAAAUUGUUUAUACAUUAAACUUUUACACAUCAUUCCCAAGGUCUACAACCUUAACUUAAUACAUACCUUCAAUAUCUUAGAAGAUUUACAAUACUAUUUUCAUCAGAAAAUUUAAUAAAUUUAACUACAACAUAAAGAAACUUUGCNN
rnacentral:lncRNA from 1 species